AGAAUUUUUCUUUUUCUUGGCCAAAAUGAAUCCGGCUCUCCAUCAAUUCCAGAAGUUCUGAAUGCAGAGGCAAAGUGAGAUGGAAAGUAUAAAAGUCAGAGGCCACACAUACUGGUCAUGGUGUUUCUCCUGAUAACCUGCAUCCUGAGAAUUCCCUUCUGCGAUAGAACUACCUAUGGACCUCCUAAAUCCAGCUUUAUUGAGGCAUUCUUAACAAAUAAAAAUUGUACAUAUUUAAGGGGUGUAAUGUAAUGUUUGAUAUAUGUAUACCUUGUGAAAUGGCUACCACAAUCAAGCUAAGAAGCAUAUCUAUCACCACAUAGUUACGUGUGUGUGUGUGUGUGUGUGUGUGUGUGUGUGUGUUAAGAACACUAAGGCCAAGAAUCUUAGCAAAUUUCAAGUAUACAAUUUAGCAUCGUUAACUAUAGUCACCAUGUUGUACAUUAGAUCUCCGGAACUUAUUCAUUCCACAUUACCAAAUCUUUGUACCCUUUGACCAUCUCCCCAUUUUCUCCAUCCCCUAGUUUUUGGCAACUAACAUUCUACUCUCUGCAUUUACAAGUUGACUUUUUUAGAUUCCACAUAUAAAUGAGAUCAUGCAGUGUUUGUCUUUCUGUGCUUGGCGUAUUUCACUUAAUAUGUCCUCCAAGUUUAUCCAUGUUGUCUCAAAUGGCAGAAUUUCCUUCUAAGAAUACUGAGUAGUGUUCUAUUGUGUAAAGAAAAUGUAGUGUGUGUAUGUGUAUUCUUUGCAUAAAAUUUCUAUUGUAUAAAGAAAUAUAUAUUCUAUUGUGUAAA
rnacentral:lncRNA from 1 species